rnacentral:lncRNA from 1 species
CAAGGGAAGCCAGAAUAGUUGCUGAUCCUUUCAUUCUAGAAAGCUUCCCAGUGGAGAUGGGACUUCAGGAGCUAUUAAGUAGAAAUAGUUUAUGAAGGAAGAAGUAGGUGGGAAAUUGUGUUUAGUUACUCUGUAUGCGAGACUUAAAUGAAUGGAUUAAUCUCCACUGGAAACCCAAACUGAACACCACCCUGAGCCUUGCGCCUGCCCUGAUAGCUUAAAUCUUUAUUUUAUACUCAGCCCAGGAGUCAAACAGGUGAGGCAAUCGUGGCAGACAGUUCAUCAUGCCUUGCAAACUUUCUUCCUAUGUAUGUUCUGUAGUCAUCAUACCAGGAGCUUGCUAUUGGAUCUGAAUGUGCAGCUGAGCUCAGGGGGAUGCAUGGUGGGAAGGGGUGGACUCCAAAUCUUCUAAAUCA